CUAAGGUUGUCCUUUGGCUGACGUGGCUGUAGGUAAGUUUCUCGUGCGUCACCCAUCUUUGUGCCAACAAAAGUGUGUAUUACUGUGGAUCUAUAUAUUGUAUAUAUAUGUACGUGCUUACUUUCAUGACACAUACCGUUUUAACACGGUAUUUAUCAAGGAACAUGUUAUAGAAAAAGAUACUCUCUCCUAUAAAAAAAAUUAUUUAUAGGAGUUUAUUCGGUUCUAAACAAGUGAAAAAAUUAAACAUACAUAUACCUACAUAUAUCUAUAUAAUUACAGAUUAGAGUUAUGCUUCUCUUUUUCUCACUCACGCAUGCGCAGUAUAUAUGCGCAUCGACACAAAGAGAAUGGUAACUUGUCCUUGUCAGUCGUUCGCUCGUUCCCCGACUGUCACUUGGUCUUUCUUUCAUGAAUAAGUGUACAUAUGAUGGAUAUGAAUAGUGAUGAGUGCCGAAUAUCUACAUAUAUACAUAUGCAUGGAAACUCUUCCUAUCAUAAAACGGGAAGGCAAUUAAACGUUGGCAGAUGUGCGUUUUUAUUUCAAUGAUUAUUUAUCAAACAAUGAAAGUAUGUAUUGACAAUGCUAGCUUAUAUAAGCAGUUUAUCUUUAUUCAUCAGUGUAUAUUCUAUAUUCUAUCUCGUCUUAAAAUGGAAAAAUACGUUAUACGUAUCAAUUAAUAACCAAUCCAAAUGUCUAAUGGACCUAAUAGAAGAAAUAUGUAUAGUGAAUUCGAAUAUAUACACGUAUGUAAUGUUUUCAAUUUUGAUACAUAUUAUAUUUAACGACAUCCUAUAAAUGUGUAUUAUAAGUACCGAUCCCUAUUUUAAUUUAUAUUCAUGUAUUGAAUUUUUAAUUCUAUGCUACUUUUCAAUUGGUUUAAAGUUUAACGAUUGCGUUCAAUCCAUAUAUGUACGACUGCAAGUAUGUAAAUAGUAUAUAGCAUAGUCGUAUUUGCCAAAUCUUAAGAAAACGCGUUAAGCCAAGUGACGAUUGAUUUCUGAUUGUAAUUACGACUAUGAUAUGUACAAUAGUUAUAUCGGUUUCAAGGAACCAAGCAAGAAGUAAGCUUGCAAAGACAGACAGGAAGUGGAAAUAAGCGUAAUUGCGAGAACGUGAGCGAGUGAUUUGUAAUUCGUCGCAAGUAAGAAAACGGAUGUUUAUGUGAUGAUAGACGAAUGCUGCAAAUUAUAAAAGGACGUGGAAAGGUGGUUGGAGAAUAUAUAAAUCGUUCGUUUGUUCAAUGUACUCUUUGCGACAGCUAAUUUUUUCAACGAUACCAGAGAAUAUUGAAAUCAGUUUCGAAACUCUUGAAUUGAUCGCUUGAACAAUGUACGAAUAAAUAUAUGUAUAUACAUAUAUGCAAGAUAAUAUCGACACAUAUCGACGAAUGCAACUUGUAAAAAUAGUUGGAAAGACAUAGUAAGAGAUCACGAUCAAACAAGUUGAAGAGUGAAAAGUGAAAAAUAAUUAAAAGAUUAGUUUGUAUUCAAUAAUACACAUGUAUAUGUAAAGGGAAUUACAAAAUCUCCUUACCUCAGGACAUUAUCUCCAGAUAUUCUCCAGAUAUUCGAUGCGAUAUAUUGCAAUCUAUUAAAACAUUUUUAUAGGUACACGUAUACUAUAUAUAUUGACAUAUACAUACGUAUAUUUAUAUACACAUAUUUGUUGCCUGAAAUAAACAGAUUCGAAGGUAACUGCAACAGUGUAAUAAAGCGACGAUAAUAAUGUGACAAUAAUGUAAAUUUACGCGUCUUACGAGAAACAUUCACAAACUAUUUUAGAAUAGAAAAACAGAGACCGGUGUGUCGUGACACUGUAAAACUGUAAACUGUAACGAUAUCGCAUAGUCAUAAUGAAUAGUGUCACAUGCUAACGCAUCGUAACAUGUUACUCGUUACCACGUUAAACGUAUUUUACUAGAUGAUGGAUAUGUUCUGCUAAAAUAACUUCCAUAAACCAUUAUAUAUACACACAAACUUAAUUUCUGACGCAAAUAGCAAAGGAUCAUAUACACAUGAGACGAAUUGAGACAAGUUUAUGUCAGCCAGCAAAGAAAUCUCUUCUCUUUCAAUAUAAAUUGUAUAACAAGAACACUGCUUUUUCCGUUGAAACAAGGAAGUGAAAAUGAAAUAAAAUGAAUUUGGCUUAUCACUGAA